rnacentral:lncRNA from 10 species
CCCUCCCAGGCUGCAUAGAGGAUUUCUUCUGGGCUACCUUAGUAUUUAAUUUUGUCGUUGUUGUUGUUGUUUGUUCCUAAUAUAGAAACAUGUCUCUUCCAGCCACUCCCGGCAAUCUGAGGGGCAUUUUGUGUGUCCCCAGCACCUGUACAGCCUCACACUUUGAAGGUGUCCAAUCACAUCUGCUGGAGGAACAAGUGGCCCAAUGUUGCAUGGAUCCUCUGGGUCGGUGUCAUCUCUCUGGGUCGGUGUCAUCUGUCCCCUCUCACCAACAGGAGGUGGUGAGCUUGCUGGGGGCCACAG